CAUCCUUCUCUCCCACUUACACCUUCUUAAAAUGCUGGAUUUUCUUGCUUUCUCUCUUUUUUAAAAGAUUUAUUUAUUGAGCGAGAGCAAGAGAGAGCGCAUGAGCAAGAGCUCGGGGAGGGGCAGAGGGAGAAGCAGAUUCCCCACCCCAUCCCAGGACGUGGAAAUCAUGACCUGAACCUGAGGCAGACGCUUAACCUUGGCCAAAGUCCCUGGAAGGUGUGGGGUGCACACUCCCUUGCUUCCCGAUAGCCUCCCGUUGUCUACAACGAGUGAGUGGGGUUACGUCAGUUAAUAGCAAGCCCAGUGCGGGCAGGUAUGGAGCUAGAGGGCAGAGGGAGUGUGCUCUGUGAUGGCCGAGUUUCCGGGAAAGCCUGGCCCAGCUGCGGGAUCAGAUUCGGGCACCAGCUGGUUAGAGGCCUGGACACAGCUCUGGCAGGCAGCUGGCCGCUUGAGCCAGGCUGUGCUUCCAUUGUGGGGCCCCCCCCACCCCGCCAUUGUUAGGUGGGAGGGGCAGGUCUGGGGGAGGGUGCUGGGACAUGGGAGGGACUGGAUCUUCAUUUUCCGCCUUCAGUGGGCACUGCCGGAGGGACUUGCUGUGGCCUGUAGGGGGCAGGGGAAGGACAGGAGGGUGGACUUCCUUGGGAGGAGAAAGGAUGUUGCCAGCCGCGUGAUCUGGGGUACGAUGGACGUGCUCCGUGACUCAGUUUCCCCUUCUGUAAAUGCAGAUCUGCCAUGA
rnacentral:lncRNA from 1 species